UACGGGGGGGGGCAAGCGUUGUUCGGAUUUACUGGGCGUAAAGGGCGCGUAGGCGGCCACCGCAAGUCGACUGUGAAAUCUCCGGGCUUAACCCGGAAAGGUCAAGUGAUACUGUCGGGCUAGAGUACAGAAGGGGCAACUGGAAUUCUCGGUGUAGCGGUGAAAUGCGUAGAUAUCGAGAGGAACACCUGCGGCGAAGGCGGGUUGCUGGGCUGAUACUGACGCUGAUGCGCGAAAGCCAGGGGAGCGAACGGG
rnacentral:rRNA from 1 species